UAAGAGUGUAGUUUUGCAUUAUUCAUAUCCAACGUUGACCGUUUGAUCAUUAUUUAAAAAAUAUUUAUGAUUAGUAUUUUUAUUGUUAUGAGAUGAUAAAACAUAAAUAUUUUUUGUGUGACUAAUUUUUUUAAUUUUCUCAUAAAUUUUUCAAAUAAGUCGAACAUCCAACUGUUGGACACGAAACCAUAUAAUCUACUUAAA
rnacentral:pre_miRNA from 1 species